rnacentral:tRNA from 1 species
GCCAGUGUGGUGUAGUGGUUUGACUGUUGGACUAUAAUUCUGGAGAGUAGGGUUCGAUUCCCAAUUUGGCC